GCUAUCUAAAUUUUCAAAUGCAGCGGGCUCUUCGUCGCUGCUUGCAUCAAGGACGUAGACUUGGCCGGUCUUACAACGAUGCUCCCGGCUCCACUUUUCACAGCACUUGAAACAUAGACCCUUUUUUAUGUAAUCUUGCAGCUCAUCACGUGACAAUUUCUUUACCUCUCUUUGCUGAUUUUUGGAACCUGUUGAAGUUAUCUCUUUUGAUCUGAAAUUUACCUUAGAUGGUUGUGGUUUGGUGAGCUUGCUGAUGGCACCAUCCUUGGUUGAACGUCGUUUCGGGUUGUAGCUUUGGUCUAGGAUCUCCGCCAUGCGCAUCGCCUCUUGUAGCCGCGUUGGUUGUUUGAGUUUGAUCUCCUUGGCUAGCCACAGUUUGAGGCCAUCGAUGAAGGUACCAAGCAAAGCUUAGUCGGACCAUCCGCUGACCAUAGUUUGUAAUUGCCGGAACUCAUCGAUGUAGGUCUGGACUUUGCCCUCCUGUUUAAGUUUUGCAAGUUGACCAUGGUGAUUGACAACGGGGGAUGGUCCCCAUUGUUUCAUGAAUUCGUCCAUAAAGGCAGUCCACCCUAACCUUCUCCCUUCUUUCUCAUA
rnacentral:lncRNA from 1 species